rnacentral:ncRNA from 1 species
GUCCACGACGUAAAAGCUUUUGAUUACCCGUCUUUGAUCACUGGAGAAAUAACCCAACCCAACCCCCCCCGGGUGGACCUCUGCGGGCCCCGGUCAGCUCGGGGAGGCGUGAUCACUCACAUGGGUGAAGUGUGCCAACCGGGCUGGAUUUAUGACCUGUUGGCGGGCAUAUGCUCACGCUGACCACCACACCAGACAUGAGACGGCCCCCGGCCGGGACUGGCAUCCCGACCGAAGGCCUCACCACCAAGGAAGAGACACCUUCCCG